AUGGCUCAGGAUGAACGCUGGCGGCGUGCCUAACACAUGCAAGUCGAGCGAUUCUCUUCGGAGAAGAGCGGCGGACGGGUGAGUAACGCGUGGGUAACCUGCCUCGAUACACAUGGAUAACAUACCGAAAGGUAUGCUAAUACAGGAUAAUAUAAGAGAUUCACAUGGAUUUCUUAUCAAAGCUCCGGCGGUAUGAGAUGGACCCGCGUCUGAUUAGCUAGUUGGUAAGGUAACGGCUUACCAAGGCGACGAUCAGUAGCCGACCUGAGAGGGUGAUCGGCCACAUUGGAACUGAGACACGGUCCAAACUCCUACGGGAGGCAGCAGUGGGGAAUAUUGCACAAUGGGCGGAAGCCUGAUGCCAGCAACGCCGCGUGAGUGAUGAAGGCCUUCGGGUCGUAAAACUCUGUCCUCAAGGAAGAUAAUGACGGUACUUGAGGAGGAAGCCCCGGCUAACUACGUGCCAGCCGCUGC
rnacentral:rRNA from 1 species